AUUGAACGCUGGCGGUAUGCUUAAGACAUGCAAGUCGUGCGGUAGGGGCUUCGGCCCUGAGAGCGGCGGACGGGUGAGUAACACGUGGGUGAUCUGCCCUGCACUUCGGGAUAAGCUUGGGAAACUGGGUCUAAUACCGGAUAGGACCACGGUCUGCAUGGAUUGUGGUGGAAAGCUUUUGCGGUGUGGGAUGGGCCCGCGGCCUAUCAGCUUGUUGGUGGGGUGAUGGCCUACCAAGGCGACGACGGGUAGCCGGCCUGAGAGGGUGUCCGGCCACACUGGGACUGAGAUACGGCCCAGACUCCUACGGGAGGCAGCAGUGGGGAAUAUUGCACAAUGGGCGCAAGCCUGAUGCAGCGACGCCGCGUGGGGGAUGACGGCCU
rnacentral:rRNA from 1 species